GAACUACAUGACGGAACACCUAA
rnacentral:siRNA from 1 species